rnacentral:rRNA from 1 species
AUUGAACGCUGGCGGCAGGCUUAACACAUGCAAGUCGAGCGGGGUGAUGGUGCUUGCACUAUCACUUAGCGGCGGACGGGUGAGUAAUGCUUAGGAAUCUGCCUAUUAGUGGGGGACAACAUCCCGAAAGGGAUGCUAAUACCGCAUACGUCCUACGGGAGAAAGCAGGGGAUCACUUGUGACCUUGAGCUAAUAGAUGAGCCUAGGAUGGAUUAGGUAGUUGGUGGGGUAAAGGCCUACCAAGGCGACGAUGUGUAGGGGGUCUGAGAGGAUAAUCCGCCACACUGGGACUGAGACACGGCCCAGACUCCUACGGGAGGCAGCAGUGGGGAAUAUUGGACAAUGGGGGGAACCCUGAUCCAGCCAUGCCGCGUGUGUGAAGAAGGCCUUAUGGUUGUAAAGCACUUUAAGCGAGGAGGAGGCUCUUUUGGUUAAUACCCAAGAUGAGUGGACGUUACUCGCAGAAUAAGCACCGGCUAACUCUGUGCCAGCCGCCGCAGUAA